GUGUGAGUAGUAAUGGCGAUGGUUCUAAUGCUGAUGACAAUGAAGGUAACAAUGAAUAUGACAUCCAAGCUUGGCGAAAAAGCUUCCUUCAUGCGAAGAAAAAAGUGUUUGAUGACAAAAAAAUCUGAGCUCGAUCGGUAUCUUGAAGCUGAAAGUUAAGAUGUCCUUAAUUUGGACCUUUUGAUGUGGUGAAAGAGUACUAGGUCAAAAUAUAAAAUCUUAUCUUUGAUGGCUAGGGAUGUUUUAUCUAUUCCCGUGACUACCGUUGCUUCAGAGUCGGCUUUUAGUACAUCGGGCCGUGUGCUUGACAGCUUUCGAAGUUCUUUGACUCCUAGAGUUGUGGAGGGUUUAAUUUGCACUCAAGAUUGGUUGAGAGCUGUUCGCGUGCCGAUUAAUGUUGAAGAGUGCAUUGAGAAUGCGGAGAAGUUUGAGUCGGAUUUGGAUUGUCUUACCGAGGAUAUUAUCAUUACUAAAUAGACUUCAUUUGUGGAAACUUUGAUUUUGCGCGAGUCUACCACUACUAGCACUCUUAUGGCUUAAGCUGGACAUGGACCCUGGAUUAGUUUUGAUGUAGUUCUCGAUUGUUGUUGGCCAUCGAUCCUAUCUCUCUCCAUGACAUUUUCCAUCAUCUUGGAUCAAAGAACUUUUUUAAUUUAUUUUACUUGGAGAUGGGAUAGAUAGAUAGAUGGGUUUAAUUUACUAUUAUGAAUUUUCAAUUUUACCAUGUACUUUUAGCGAUAAUGUCUUAAUUGUGAAAGUAGCUUAUCUCUAAUUGCUCAACAAUUCUGAACCCUCCUCGAGGUUCAUUCAAAGCAAAAUGUGGGAGGAUAUUUCUUUUUCUAUUGAGGAUG